CCCGCACAAGCGGUGGAACAUGUGGUUUAAUUCGAUGAUACGCGAGGAACCUUACCUGGGCUUAAAUGGGGAGUGACAGCUGUCGAAAGAUGGUUUCUUCGGACACUCUUCAAGGUGCUGCAUGGUUGUCGUCAGCUCGUGCCGUGAGGUGUCGGGUUAAGUCCCAUAACGAGCGCAACCCUUACCGUUAGUUACCAUCAGGUUAAGCUGGGGACUCUAGCGGGACUGCCACCGUAAGGUGAGAGGAAGUGGGGAUGACGUCAAAUCAGCACGGCCCUUAUGUCCAGGGCUACACACGUGGUACAAUGGCCAGUACAAAGGGCAGCUACCGGGUGACCGGAUGCUAAUCUCUAAAGCUGGUCUCAGUUCGGAUCGAAGUCUGCAACCCGACUUCGUGAAGCUGGAUUCGCUAGUAAUCGCGCAUCAGCCAUGGCGCGGUGAAUACGUUCCCGGGCCUU
rnacentral:rRNA from 1 species